rnacentral:rRNA from 1 species
AUGCGCCGCCUCGCCUCCGCCCACCGGUGCGUGCCGCCACCUCACCAGACCCCAGGAGCCCCGCCGCCUCGCGCUGCCGCCUGCACCGCGUCGCGUGCCGCCACCUCCCCACAAGCUCGCCGCCCCAUCGCGGAAGCCUCACCGCCCCGCCGCCAUGGGAACCGAGCUCCUCUGCGCCCCGCCCGCCAUCGGAGAUCUGAGGCCGGCCGGGAGGCGGGGAUGGGGUACCGGUGGGCCCCGGGGAUCUGCGCGGUGGUGCUGCUCUGGCUCGCUGCGACCGCAGCCGGAGAUCCCGAUCCCGACGAGCUCGAGCGCGCAUUGCCAAUGCCAAUUUACAACAAUUUCAGGUCUGCGAAAGUUGGAUUUUGGAUAGGCUUUCAAGAGCGUGACCGAAGCAGAGACACACACAUGCGGCGCGACAACAAUUCUUCUUCCUCAAAGCAUAUAUUUUCUCCAAGCGAUCAACAAAGUGAUUGGUCCAUUUGGAAGGUGUUCCAAUCCCCACCAACAAGAGGCACAAUGCUUCCAAGAUCUUCAACACCCUGA